AUGCAACGCACAUCUGAUUGUUGUUGGUCGGGCCUGCAGCCGGCCGUGGAGCCUGAGGUGCAGGCUAUUUUUGACUCGUCCAUCAAGGUGACGUUGGGGGAUGGUAGAAAGGCUCUUUUUUGGACGGAUUUCUGGCUCCACGGGCGUUCCAUUCAGUUUGAGGCCCCAGAGCUAUUCCUAGCGGUGAACGACGGUGCGCGGCGCACGCGAACAGUUCAUGAGGCCUUGGCGGACCGCGCUUGGAUCAGGGACAUCACAGGGGUGUUGACGGUUAGAGUGCUAACUCAAUUCUUGAUGCUCACGGACUUGCUUCUUGAGGUGCACCUACUCCCUGAGAUUCCAGAUCGCAUAAUCUGGAAGUGGACGCCGACUGAGGUAUAUUCUGCGAGCUCAGCUUAG
rnacentral:rRNA from 1 species